rnacentral:tRNA from 1 species
GCGAGGGUCGCCCAGUCGGUCAAAGGCGGCAGACUUAAGAUCUGUUCUCGAAGGAGUUCGUGGGUUCAAAUCCCAUCCCUCGCA